AUUCACGCUGGCGGCGUGCAUCACCCCUGCAAGUCGCACGCUGAAACUUUAAUGAACCCUUCGGGGAGAAUUCAAGCGGAUUAGUGGCGAACGGGUGAGUAACGCGUGAGUAACCUGCCUUACACAAGGGGAUAGCCUUUGGAAACGAAGAAUAAUACCCUAUAAAACCAUAAAAGCACAUGCAAUUAUGGUCAAAGUGAUAGCGGUGUAAGAUGGACUUGCGUCUGAUUAGCUAGUUGGUGAGAUAAAAGCCCACCAAGGCAACGAUCAGUAGCCGGCUUGAGAGAGUGUACGGCCACAUUGGGACUGAGACACGGCCCAGACUCCUACGGGAGGCAGCAGUGGGGAAUUUUGCACAAUGGGGGAAACCCUGAUGCAGCGACGCCGCGUGAUUUAGAAGGCCUUCGGGUUGUAAAAAUCUUUUGUAUAGGAAGAAAAUGACAGUACUAUACGAAUAAGGUCCGGCUAAUUACGUG
rnacentral:rRNA from 1 species